rnacentral:tRNA from 1 species
GUCAAGAUGGCCGAUUUGGUCUAAGGCGCCAGUUUCAGGUACUGGUCCGAAAGGACAUGUGUUCGAAUCCUAUUCUUGACA